CUACGGGGGGCUCCAGCUAAGAGUCUUCCGCAAUGGACGAAAGUCUGACGGAGCGACGCCGCGUGGAUGAUGAAUGCCGAGAGGUUGUAAAGUCCUUUUAUCAGAGAAGAAUAAUCAUGUCAGGGAAUGGGCGUGAGAUGACGUUAUCUGAUGAAUAAGCUCCGGCCAAUUACGUGCCAGCAGCCGCGGUAACACGUAAGGAGCGAGCGUUGUUCGGAAUUAUUGGGCGUAAAGGGCAAGCAGGCGGCCUUGUAAGUCUGGCGUGAAAUACCGUGGCUCAACCACGGAAACGCGCUGGAAACUGUGAGGCUAGAAUCCGUGAGGGGUAUGUGGAAUUCCUGGUGUAGGGGUGAAAUCUGUUGAUAUCAGGAAGAACACCUGAGGCGAAGGCGACAUACUGGCACUGGAUUGACGCUGAGAUGCGAAAGCGUAGGGAGCGAACAGGAUUAGAUACCCCAGUAGUC
rnacentral:rRNA from 1 species